UGGGAAAACUAAUUAAGCUCUCAAUUAGC
rnacentral:piRNA from 1 species